UACGUAGGGUGCAAGCGUUGUCCGGAAUUAUUGGGCGUAAAGGGCUCGUAGGCGGUCUGUUGCGUCGGUAGUGAAAACUCAGGGCUUAACCCUGAGCCUGCUUCCGAUACGGGCAGACUAGAGGUAUGCAGGGGAGAACGGAAUUCCUGGUGUAGCGGUGAAAUGCGCAGAUAUCAGGAGGAACACCGGUGGCGAAGGCGGUUCUCUGGGCAUUACCUGACGCUGAGGCGCGAAAGCUAGGGGAGCAAACGGG
rnacentral:rRNA from 1 species